CAGUCGCCACGGUAAUACGUAGGUGGCGAGCGUUGUCCGGAAUUAUUGGGCGUAAAGGGCUCGCAGGCGGUUUCUUAAGUCUGAUGUGAAAGCCCCCGGCUCAACCGGGGAGGGUCAUUGGAAACUGGGAAACUUGAGUGCAGAAGAGGAGAGUGGAAUUCCACGUGUAGCGGUGAAAUGCGUAGAGAUGUGGAGGAACACCAGUGGCGAAGGCGACUCUCUGGUCUGUAACUGACGCUGAGGAGCGAAAGCGUGGGGAGCGAACAGGAUUAGAUACCCGUGUAGUCCCUGUCUCUUAUAC
rnacentral:rRNA from 1 species